AUACACACACAUAUUUGUAUCUUCUUCUCUUCCCCAAAUCUGCUACCACAAGACCAAUUUUUCCUUUUCUUCUUAUCCUUUCUUGCUACCACAAAACAAAAAGGCAUUUUUGAUUAGAAAACAGAGCCCUUUCUUCUUCACGGGACAUAACAAUGAUGGUAUGGAUGUAUCACCUCGAUCAGAGAACCGAUUUCAUAUAUCAAAGUGAUUUGAUGUAUCACAACCUCAUUGAUACAUAUAGCUCUCCCCUCCCUGUUAAUUUAAUUUCACAGCUUUGGAAAUUGGGGAUCCGAAGAAGAUGCUCGGUAAUAACCCAUGGAUCUGAAAAAGAUGCUCGGUAAAACAAACGAGGUUCCGACGAGAGAGACGGGAAGUUCUGUAAGGGUGGUUGCUCCUCUCCUACCACCACAUGAUCAGAUCAUGUUGAGCUGGUGAGUUUGCCCUUGAUUUUCGACAAAAAA